rnacentral:rRNA from 1 species
UUUAAAUGUAAAUUAUUUUACUGAAGUAGUAAUAGUUAUGUUCUUUAAAUUUAAAGAUUUUGGCGGUAUUUUAGUCUAUUUAGAGGAACCUGUUCUAUAAUUGAUAGUCCACGUUUAACUUUACUUAUUUUAUAAAUUUGUAUACCGUCGUUAUUAGAAAAUUUUAAUAGAAAAUAAAUUUUUAAUAUUUUAAAUUAAAAAAUAUAUCAGAUCAAGGUGCAGUUCAUAUUUAAGAAAGAAAUGGGUUACAAUAAAUUUAUUUAUAUGGAUAAGAAGAAGAAUUUUUUUUUUGAAGGUGGAUUUAAUAGUAAUAAAAUUUAAUUAAAUUUUAUGAUUUUGGCUCUAAAAUAUGC